rnacentral:rRNA from 1 species
CCCCGAGGAAAAGAAAUCAACCGAGAUUCCCCCAGUAGCGGCGAGCGAACGGGGAGCAGCCCAGAGUCUGAAUCAGCUUGUGUGUUAGUGGAACGGUCUGGAAAGUCCGACGGUACAGGGUGAUAGUCCCGUACACCAAAAUGCACAGGCUGUGAACUCGAAGAGUAGGGCGGGACACGUGGUAUCCUGUCUGAAUAUGGGGGGACCAUCCUCCAAGGCUAAAUACUCCUGACUGACCGAUAGUGAACCAGUACCGUGAGGGAAAGGCGAAAAGAACCCCGGCGAGGGGAGUGAAAAAGAACCUGAAACCGUGUACGUACAAGCAGUGGGAGCACCUUCGGGUGUGACUGCGUACCUUUUGUAUAAUGGGUCAGCGACUUAUAUUCUGUAGCAAGGUUAACCGUAUAGGGGAGCCGCAGGGAAACCGAGUCUUAACUGGGCGUUAAGUUGCAGGGUAUAGACCCGAAACCCGGUGAUCUAGCCAUGGGCAGGUUGAAGGUUGGGUAACACUAACUGGAGGACCGAACCGACUAAUGUUGAAAAAUUAGCGGAUGACUUGUGGCUGGGGGUGAAAGGCCAAUCAAACCGGGAGAUAGCUGGUUCUCCCCGAAAGCUAUUUAGGUAGCGCCUCGUGAAUUCAUCUUCGGGGGUAGAGCACUGUUUCGGCUAGGGGGUCAUCCCGACUUACCAACCCGAUGCAAACUACGAAUACCGAAGAAUGUUAUCACGGGAGACACACGGCGGGUGCUAACGUCCGUCGUGAAGAGGGAAACAACCCAGACCGCCAGCUAAGGUCCCAAAGUCAUGGUUAAGUGGGAAACGAUGUGGGAAGGCACAGACAGCCAGGAUGUUGGCUUAGAAGCAGCCAUCAUUUAAAGAAAGCGUAAUAGCUCACUGGUCGAGUCGGCCUGCGCGGAAGAUGUAACGGGGCUAAACCAUGCACCGAAGCUGCG